rnacentral:rRNA from 1 species
GGGGAAUAUUGCACAAUGGGCGCAAGCCUGAUGCAGCGACGCCGCGUGGGGGAUGACGGCCUUCGGGUUGUAAACUCCUUUCGCCAGGGACGAAGCGUUUUGUGACGGUACCUGGAGAAGAAGCACCGGCUAACUACGUGCCAGCAGCCGCGGUAAUACGUAGGGUGCAAGCGUUGUCCGGAAUUACUGGGCGUAAAGAGCUCGUAGGUGGUUUGUCACGUCGUCUGUGAAAUUCCACAGCUUAACUGUGGGCGUGUAGGCGAUACGGGCUGACUUGAGUACUGUAGGGGUAACUGGAAUUCCUGGUGUAGCGGUGAAAUGCGCAGAUAUCAGGAGGAACACCGAUGGCGAAGGCAGGCUACUGGGCAGUUACUGACGCUGAGGAGCGAAAGCAUGGGUAGCAAACAGGAUUAGAUACCCUGGUAGUCCAUGCCGUAAACGGUGGGCGCUAGGUGUAGGGACCUUUUGGGGUUUCUGUGCCGUAGCUAACGCAUUAAGCGCCCCGCCUGGGGAGUACGGCCGCAAGGCUA